GACCAAUUUAAAUAACCAAAUUAAACAAUUUCAUAAUACCUGAUGCCGCCUGAAUUAGCCUUUUUCACGCCGCCAUUUUUGGGUGGCAUUUCAGCCGAAGUCUGAGAGAUAAGUCCACAUAACAGCGACUUUUUAUAAUUUUUUCGACGAAUGAUGGUAUAAAUUUGCUUUGUAAAUGGUUAGUUUAUUUUGAAAAGUUGCUUUUCACAUUGUUUUAAUUGUCUGCAUCGGUUAACGAGAAUUAGAUGCCACCCAAAAAUGGAGGAUAUUCGUCAUCGCGAGAAAGGCUAAUUAAACGCGUGUUCGCGGAGAUUGCGCCGAUAUUCUGGCAAAACUAUUAUGACUUUUGAAACAGUUUACAACUUUAGGAAGACGGGAGUGUGUCAGGUGGUAAAUUUUAUUAAAAUUUGUUGUUUUGGCAAAACACUUGACCGACUUAAAUAACCAAAUUAAACAAUUUCAUAUACCGCCCAUCAUAAGUAAAUUUACGAAAUUCAAGGGAUUGUAGUAUACGAGAAUCCUAUAUAUGCAUGGAAAACCAUGUCAAUUUAUCCUUAAAUAACAACUGAAAAAUAAUAGUCAUUUUACCGAAGAAAGAUGAAAAAAUAAACAUUUGACUAACUUAAAUAACCGAAUUAAACAAUUUCAUAUACCGUCAAUCAUAAGUAAUUUUACGAAAUUCAAGGGAUAUUUGUGUACGAGAAUCCUAUAUAUGCAUGGAAAACCAUGUCAAUUUAUAUCCUUAAAUAACGGCUGAAAAAUAAUUUUACCGAAGAAAAAUAAAAAAAUAAAUGUCAAAAAAAUUGCAGCUGCCAAACACAUUUCGCUUCUCAUUUGCACAAAUGUGAAUCAACAUUAAUGAACCAUAUUUACAUAUAAUGAACCAUAUGUAUUUUACGAAGACGACCACAUACCUUGGGGCGAUAAAAUUGUGCAAUUUAAUUUGUCAAAAAUUACGAAUCAAUAUACUGGUCCAGAAUAACUAGAAUAGAAAAAUGUAAUCAGACAUUCUUGCCUAACGAAAUAGAAGCCUCGUUUCCAUGGAAAUAGCUAUUUCGCGAGUUUACUUGGGACAAAACGACUUUCACAAUUAUUCGUGCACUACAGUUCUGUAUAGAAGCAAAUUCUGGGACUUUUCCAUUACCUAAAAAAAUAGCAUCACCUGUUGCUAUAUAGCUAUAGCUUCACCACUGACAGUAUUAUGAUAGAUUAUUCCAGCUAUAUAGACGAAAUUUUGAUCUGGACAAGAAGAACGAAUGGUAAUGGCCAUAGCUUGAAAGAGCAUCUUAAAAUGAGUAAAAUUGCAAAGUUUGGUUGCAAAAUGUUGUAAAAUGAAGGAAGUAUAGCCCUGUGAAGUUCGC